rnacentral:rRNA from 1 species
CCUACGGGUGGCAGCAGUGAGGAAUAUUGGUCAAUGGGCGAGAGCCUGAACCAGCCAAGUCGCGUGAGGGAGUACUGCCCUAUGGGUUGUAAACCUCUUUUGUCGGGGAGCAAAAGCCGGACGUGUCCGGCUGUGAGAGUACCCGAAGAAAAAGCAUCGGCUAACUCCGUGCCAGCAGCCGCGGUAAUACGGAGGAUGCGAGCGUGAUCCGGAUUUAUUGGGUUUAAAGGGUGCGCAGGCGGAUUGUUAAGUCAGCGGUAAAAUCGUGGGGCUCAACCCCAUCCAGCCGUUGAAACUGGGGAUCUAGAGUGUGCGAGAGGUAUGCGGAAUGCGUGGUGUAGCGGUGAAAUGCAUAGAUAUCACGCAGAACCCCGAUUGCGAAGGCAGCAUACCGGUGCACAACUGACGCUCAGGCACGAAAGCGUGGGUAUCGAACAGGAUUAGAUACCCGUGUAGUC